GCCGGUUUAGCUCAGUUGGUAGAGCAGCGGUUUUGUAAACCGAAGGUCGCGGGUUCAAGCCCUGCAACCGGCA
rnacentral:tRNA from 1 species